GGUCACCAGGUACGAUGGAGGCGGGGUUGGCCAGGCCUCUGCUGCUGCUGCCGGCCGGGCCCUGGGACAGGGACUGAGAUCCCAGCUGAGGAUGCGAGGGCUGAGGGGACUGAAGGCAGGUAGGACGGUCCUCCAGGCCUUUCCUGCUCUGUGUGGCAGCCGCUUCACCUGCGUCCCGUCUGCUGGAGCAGGGGUGGGAGAGCGGCUGAGCCAGGCUGGUGCUGACACUCGUGGAGUCAACAGAACUGCAGAAGGCUGGACCGGCCUGGAAAAUGGCCCCGUGGCCGUGUCCCUCCUGCUUCAGAGGUGCCUUGGGGCUCCCUCACUUACCCCGGGGACCUUGGGUUCAACUGUGCCUCAGCUCCUGUCCCCUAGAUCGGUUCUGUCAUGACGAAUGCCGCCUGAAGUGGCCAAGGGAGGGGGGCGGGUGAGAUGAGCAGAGGCCGAGCUCAGCCAUCAGCAACGUCUACACCCGCGGACUGGCACACCCCAGCACAGCAUUUGCUGAAGCACUGAAAUUGCGGGGCCCCUAAAGAAACUCCAGGAAGGGAGAGUCACAAAGGUGUCCCACAGCAGUGACCAGGGCACAGCCUCAGGGCCCGAGUCACGGGUCCUCAGACACCGAGGCUUCCCACGGGGAGCAGGAGACCCACGUCCGCCCCUCUCCAGCCCCAUCUGCCUCUGGUUCCAGCUGCUUGUCGGCGUGGCGGUGGGGUCUGGGCCCUGGACGGCCCAGCACGCCAGUACCCCCCCGGGCCUCUCCGCUGCCUCGGCCUCCUGGGGUCCACAGAGGCUUUCAUUCCAGGAACGCUCUUCACUCCCGCAGGCUCAGAGCCUUGUAGCGAUGCCCUCAUUCCUGCUCCGGAGUCUCCGAAGCUCAGUGGUGGCCUAGGGAGCCUGCUGGGAAAAGAGGCCCAUCUGCUUGCUGCCUUCCCAGAAGUGGCAUGGCGACUGGACGCAGGUGGGCCUCGCAGGCCUGAGCAAGCGUCCUUGGCUUGUCCUUGGCCACGGCUGACUCGCUUCUUACCAGCUUACUGGAAAUCCCUGCUCUCGGCCAGGCCUGUCUUAUUACCAGACACAGCCCUUGGCCACGUGUGAAGUCCUGUGGCUCCGCCCACAGCGUGUCCUUGUGCUCAUCUGCUCUCUGCCCUGGCCUGUGACAGGUCGAAGCCCCCAGGUCAGGAUCAGCCUUGCCCUCUCGCCCCGGCACUGCCUGUCAGCACCUCACGCGGGCGUCCUUGGAGCACCCCACCUCUUCUGCUUUCCCUCACGAGGGGAGACCCGCCCCAGGGUGGUGACAGAGUGCCAGGCACACCCGGACUUGGGGACUCACUGGGUCUGGAGGCAAUUCAUCGCCCCGUUCCGAUUGCCAGAAAUUUCCGCUUCUGUUACAAAUAAGCUGUGUCCCGCAAUCCCCUUUUGACCCUGGUGGCAGCCCCCAGGGCCUCCUUCCCAGGAGAGCUUUUCAGAAAUAGUGACCUCCUCCACCUCCCCCCCCCCCCCACCGUCGUGGUUUUGACUCCCUUCGCCACGUGGAUUCUAUCUCCAGUCUGUCCAUUCCUCUGUCCUCAAGGCCGGGAACUGGGGAUAUGAGCCAGGGAUUAAUCGCACGGAGUAAGCUUCCGAAAGUCACGGGGGCCAUUGGAAGGCCUGAGCUUAGAGAUAAUUUCCCUUCUCUGCAAAGGCCAGGCAUUUAGUCCAAAUGGGCAGAGUCGGGCGAGGGCCAGGCCAGCAGGGGACAGCAGCCACAGCCCAGAUGGCCAUCCCAGAAACACAAGCUACCGUCCCCAGCCUGAGACGCAAGACGGCCGCUGAUCUCUUCUCCUAGAGGCGGGCUUGUCCGUGCAGGGGAGGGCCAUCUGUCGCCAGAGCAAGACCCACCUGCCUCUCCGGGGAUUAGCCGGGGCCCCGAGCACCGAGCACCGAGCACCGGCUCGACUUGCCACCCACAGGCUCGAAAAGUGGUUUCCGCGUCUGGGAAAGGAGAGCGAAUCAGCACCGAGUAGGCGCAAGGGAGUGAGAAGGCCAGUUCUGAAUCCGGCUGGCUGAGCUCAAACCCCGGCAACGCUGGGCAACCUCUCCGCCCUCCGUGUCCUCAUCUGUAAAAUGUCCUCGUCGCCAUCGGGUCGGUUCGUUAGUGCCGGGCACACACUAAGCACUCCACAAAUAUUCACGGCUGCGAUUCUUACCAGACGCUGGUUGUGAAAAAAUGGCCACGCUUUGGCUCCACAUCAGCUGGGUGAUGUAGGUACCCUCACCCCAUCUUUGGGGGGGGGGGACACCGAACGGCAGGGUGGGCAGGUGACCUUCGCGAGGCCAUUCUUUAUUUUUUCGUUCAGAGAACACCUUCACGUGCGCUCUUGUACGACACUCAGGAGCCCCUCGCCGCAGUUGCUGACUUUGCUCGGAGCUAAAAUGUUGAGCUGAGACCGCCUCUGGCUUCCUCCCCCUUCCCGCCUCUUUCUCCCCCUUCCCGGAGUCCAGCGCUCCCCGGAGGCUCCCCGCGAGUCGGGUCGCGUUGCGGGGGUGUGCGACUUCCACUUGGUCUUUUUUCCAAAGUGUUCCAAUCGACAUCACGCCGUCCGUGUGUUUCCCUACUCGCUGUGCCUUUGAGUAUUUCCCGUGCGGACACCCCCAGGUCUGGGUCGCGUCCCCUUGGCCGCCGUGCGAUCUUCCGCCAAAUGAGGUCACCGCCAAAUGAGGUCACCGCCUAUCCACGCCCCAGGGCGUCCGUUCAUCCUUCUGACGGACGGCAGUUCCUAGUUGGCGGUUUGACCCACGGUGCUGGGCGAACAGCCCCACGCCUGCCUGCUCGUGCGCGUGUCCCAGGACACAGACCCCUCGGUGGAGUGGCUGGGCGGCGGGGGAUGAGUUGCCCAGAUGCUGCCCGCUUCCUUCCACCGCACGAGCUGGGAAGAGUUCUCGGCGCCGCGGCCAGAGCUGGCACUUGGCGUCCAUCGGGUGGGUGUGCGCUGGGGUCUCCUCGGUCGCCAAAUGCGGGCCGGCCUUGGCAGCUCGCCAGGCCGCGUGCCGAUUACACGUCGAAACGAUCGUUUUUGGAGACAUUGGGUUAAACGAAAAAGACCCCUAGAAUGCACUUUGCCUGUCUUGUUUUCACUCCUUUUAACAAGGCUGCUAGGAAAUCUGUAAGCGGCACCGGGGGCGGGAGUUAGAUUUCUGUGGGAUGAUGCAGCCCUACAGUCUGCCCGGCAGGUGCCUGGUGGCAGGCGCCCGGGGAGCGUUUGAUGAAUGAGUGAGUGAAAUCAGACACUUGAGAGGAAGACAUCCUUGGCAUAGCUGGGGCCCCCCGGCCCCACCCCUGGCGCCUGUGCCAAGGCUGAGAGCUAUGAGCCCCUUGGCCCCCUGCCUCCGGGGACUGAGGGGUGGGCCCCUGGAGACCAGCUGCCUGGGAGAGAAGCCUGGGCUCUGCCGGGCCAGACUCCCGGCCACCCCCCCUCCUCCCCGCAGCAGGGCCUCCCGGAAAGCCCCACGCCGACCACGGAAACGAUGUCCUGCAGGACGGCUCGGGCCCCCUUGGGCGAGCACCCUCGUUUCCCUCCCAGCCCUACCCUGCGGGCGCUGUCCCUAAGCCCACGGGAGGCCAGGACUACACUGUGGAGGGUGGUGAGUCAGCCGCUGUGCCUGCCCAAGGCCUCGAGGAAGAAGGACACCAAAGCUUGGCUCGGCCCCUGGGCAAGGUGCCCGGGCCCUGCACUCCACGGGGCCGCCGUGACGCCCUGAGAAAGGUUAACUUUGAAGCCGCCUGUGGAGCGGCUAAGCCAGGCGGAGCUUGAACAAACAGCCCCAAGGCUUCCAGCUUGGGGUGCCCUGCAGAGUAACCCCGGAGCAGUGGGGAGCCCGGUCUGAAGUGUCGGCGGCUCCCCUGUCGUUCCAAAAUGUGCAGAAAGCUCACCCAUCUGGACUCUGGGAAGAAAUCUGUCACUCAGGGCUUCAGGCAACUGAACAUCACCCGUCAGACACGGUGCUCACACGUAGUCUGAUGGUUUUACGUGGGAAAUGUUUGCCAAUGACCUUCAUCCUUUUCUCCGUGACAAAUGGUGACCGGUAGGUACGAGGCUGGACAGUUGAAUGGCGACACCCUGAGGCCCUGUUGAGCAUGGAAGACUGUGUCUCCGCUGUCCCCAGGGGCCACACUUUCUGGGCCUUGGGUCUGCUUUCCUAGUUCCUCGUUCUUCUCUGGUCCAGAACCUUCACCCGCCCCUGCUGCCUAGGGCAUCUGCGGUCCAUGUCCUUCCCUGCCCUCGCUUUCCCCUGGCCCAUCCCGACCCCCUCUGAAAUGACUCCCUCUAAGCUGAGCUGGAGAAACCAGACUUGUUCAAUAAUAUGUAAAAUAAAGGCAAAAGGUUUGGAUUGGGUCUUACCUCUGA